GACAGGGCGGCGCUGACGUCGCGGCGGGCGGGCGGCCGUCCUGGGAGCUGCGCGCUCGCCCGUCCCGAACAGCCGCAGUCCCCGCACAGUCCGCGAACAGCCCCGGUCCCCGCACAGCCCCGUCCCGCGUGCUCGCGGCCGUCCGCGCAGAGGCUUGUGACGGCCACCCGCAGUUGGGCAUGCUGGGUACUUCUGGGAGGCCGGCUGGCAUUAGCUCUGUGCAUGGCAGGGCAGCGGAAUCCUCACCCCACAAGUGGCUACGAAGGCAACUCAACCCAUGGCAAUGGCUUCGGUGACGGGUAUGAUCACCGCCUCUCGGGGAGCUUCCAGCAGAUGAAAAGCGCUGGGCCGAACUCCUCCUCCAUGGGCCUGAACAUCCGCUUGACGAGGACACUGCUGCUGGAAAGGACAGCAGAGGCUUUUCAGCAAAGCAGACAAGGUGCCCACACCCAAGGUCACGCAUGUGUCGGUCCCUGUCCUCUUCCACAACCAGACCCACUCUCGACCUCCUCCUCCCCCUGCGGGUCCUGGGGCAUCCCUGUUGGAGGCAGGGCCUGCACUGCCAUCUUGGUGCUGGCCCAAGACCUGCUCUGCAUCGCUGAGGUGAGGCAGCUGGGCUUUCCCCACCGCAGCCUGUGUUGUCCCCCUCAUCUGCUCACUUCUGGACUGGGGGAGGCAGGAGCAAGCCUUGGUGUCCUUGCAGCCCUCGCAUGCAGCGGAGGCCUGGCAGUCCAGCCCCUCCAGGCACAGCAGGGACACAAACCGCCUCCCUGUGACUCGAUGGCCAGGCUGUCCUGACUUCCUGCUGCUCUCCCUCUAUGGCUGGAGCAGAUGAGCUGCAGUACUGGGAGUCCCUCAGGGACCCAGGUCUUUCCCCUGUGCCUGGAUUCCCAUGUGUGGGGCCCUGCAUGACCUCAAUUGGGCCAGUUCUGAUGGUUCUACUUUUCCUCCUGGAGCUCUUGUCCACACCAGGCACUCUAAGGAGGAGGAGGACUGGGAGGACAGAAAGCGGAAGACAGCACACUCCCACAUGCUACUCAGCCUCAAGGGAGGCGACACAGGUGCUUAUGAAUGGCUCAUUCUCCCUGGGGAUCCCUGAGCCCACGAGCAAGGCUGGACCGGAAGUUCAGAAGGGUGAAGGCAAGAGCGCUGAGACACACUAUCUUGGUUCACAUCCCUGCUGUACAGUUUACUGCUGUGGGAGCCUGGACAAGUUUUUCCACUUCCCUGGGCCUCAGUCUCCUUCCCCUUAAAAAGUUUGUUGACAUAGAAACAACAUUUGAGGAGACAGAACUGCUAAACCCUGACCGUGUAAUUUCAUAUGCAGCAGGCUAUCACACUGUACUCGGGAAGUGAAUGCAAGCAUUGUAUGUCCAUCAAAAUGUAAAAAUUAGUUUAACUAAAUAAAAUGGAAAAGAAGGCUGCAGUGAGCAGGAAUGGAUGCACACGGCACUCAUGGGACCCCCUGGAGCACCGUGAGCUCCUCUCGCGCUGGGUGAAGAUGAUGAUGGUGAGGCCACGUUGGGCAGAUCUGGGGAGGAGCCACAGGGAGAAGACCAGAUGCACAGACCCGAGACAAGUUGGAAUCCCCCCUACGUCACAGAGACACAGCCCCAGCGGACACUCGGCCCAGUCUGAGGACUCGUAUGGUGAAGUUCCCCACAUGGAUGGGUGACAUCGGGACAGCCCCAAGAUCCCACAUAAUGCGGAGCCUUGUGGCUCCCUGUGGGUGUUACUGUUGCUCAGAAGUCAUCAAUCACAUCUUCAGUCAAGCUAGUGCUAGCGUAAAGGGGAAAAAGCACAGGCGUGUAACCGAGGGAAGUCCAAAGCAUAUUCCUACCAUUCCAAGGGCUUACGUUAUUAAACCAAGGGUGAUCUAAUUUAUCUUCUCAUAUUCUAGCUUACCCAAAGGGUGGCCCAACCAUGAAAACUCCUGUGUAAGACCUCAGCACAUUUCAUCUCCUCAGUCACCAUGAAUCACGGACACCAUGAACCAGCCGGGGCGAGGACCCGGCUCUAUCCCAUCUCAGCGAGGACUUGAGGCUCAACAUGUUGAAGGGCUUACAUGGGGCAAAGCAGCUAAGAAGAGAAAUAGAUCUGCAGUGACCUCAUCUUUGAGGGCACCACCUCGUGAAAGAGUUACUCAAUAAGUCUGGGAUGAAGAACAGUAAGGGUAUGAGAAAUAAUGAGUCAGAAUUCUCCUAUUUUCUUGCCUAGUAUGUCAGACAGUGAAAACAGCUGGACAGCUGUCCAACGCUCAGGUCCCAGCGCAGGUGGCCAUCAGUCUGAGGGCAUCACUCCCUGGACCUGCUCACUAUACUGUGGUAACAGUGGAAGCGCAGUGACCUUGAUCUCAGGACUACAAGACUAGAAAACCCAUUCACAGAGCAGCCCGUGGCCAGAAGGUUAAUGAUGGGGAGCAGCCUGAAAGGUCACCAGACAUGCUGUCUUGCGGGGUGAGCUUGCCUACGCUUGCGAUGUUCCUUCUUUAUGAAGCAAGAUUUGCUUAUAUUUUUUCCAGUCCUGCUGACUUCUCAUAGCACCCCAUUCUGAGCCACGACAGACCUUGCCAUUAAAAUAACAUCUGGGAUAAACCACAUUGCUUGUGGGAGUGUGGACGUGCUUUUCCACACUUUCAAAUCUAUGAAGCCAGCAGGAGUCUGGAUGUUUUAUGUGUUGUGAAUUCAGCAGUUUCAUUUAUUUUCAGUGCAGGGCUAGAAAGCAAGGGCAGCUGGACGAGCCCAUUUGCUAGGUGAGAGGGCCCAGACCUGAGGCCUCCCGGCGUCCAAGCAAAUUGUUUCAUUACAGCACAAAAGGACCGGAGGACCAGGAAAAGCUGGUUUCCCUGGCACCAGAUGCCAUCCCGCUGGCACUGUGAGGUGAUCAAUAUACAGAAUGAUCCAGUGAGCAGCACAUUCAGCCGCGAGCUGUGGGGUCGAUUUCAGGAAGGGAGUCCCUGAGGUAUGAGCAGAGUGCUAAGUUUCGUCACAAAAACACCAAAGGUGGCAGAGAAACACUGGGAAGCAUGUGUCUCUGGCCCUGACAACUGAGCUGCUAGAGGUGCCGAGUGCCGAGGAAGGAGGUGCUCUCCCCAGUCCAGAAAGGGGUUGCAGGCACCCCAGAGACAGAGCUGGUUUUUCUGCUUACAGCCUGUGUGAAAUAAUCACCAUGAGUGCCCUACGUAAGUAGAGGUUCCUGCCCCAUGUUAGCUGUGGAAAAGACAGGGUUAUCUUAUAUUCAAGUCCUCACAAUUCUUUCAUACUUUGGAGUAGAAUCUCAGCUAAUUCACUUUCAACAGAUUACUCUUUGGGAAAGUCAGCCCAGAAUGACUUUAGUCAGUGCCAGCUUGGGAGUGUUUAAGAAGUCACCUGACAACCAGAGAAAAGAAGAAAGGUCAGACCCGAGAGCGUGCAUCAUUGCCGUUCACUCCAGCCGCUAGAAAUGCACCACUUAUGUGCCAGGAGAGAAAGGACAAUCUAAUGGGUACUUAAGGGUCUGAAGUUUGAGGUUAAGUCCUAGACAAGAUUCUGCCCCUGCCUACCCGGCUGGGAAAUCACCGGAGUCCUUUGAGACUCCCUUCCUUCAGAGCUGAAGGUUUCUAAAUGGGCCGUUUUAACUGCUCAGCUCUGCCGGAACAGCACCAAAGCAAUCACAGACAGCGCAUGGAGGACCUAACAUGGCUGUGUUCCAGUGAAACUUCGUGGACACUUGGAUUUCAUAAAAUUUUCACAUGCCAUGAAGUACUAUUCUUCUGCAUGCUUUCAGCUGUUGAAACGGAGGAAAACCAUUCUUAGUUUUCAGACUCUUCUGAGGCUCAGUUUGGUCCUCAGGCUGCCAUUUGCCACCCCGGCUCUAGGAUCAACUCUACAAGAUCUGCUCCCCGCACUUCGCCAGCGGAGAGAUGCCUCACAGGUAAGGCAGCCUGAUUGGAUUACCACAGCCCCGAGCCUGUUCUUGCUUGUGACAUUAAGAAAAUAUGUCGCCGACCGGAUCUGAAUUCAUCGGUUAGAAAGGCUCUGGCGAGCUGACCCCAACCUGCGGGCCGCUGCUCCUGUUUCCUGCCCUCCUGACGGGCCGACUCCCCCAUCUCGCCACUGUCACAGUCAUUUCUUUUCCUCUCGCAUGACGAUCCGCUGUUCCUUCCUUGUCUGCUGUUGGAUCCAUUGCAAUAAAGGCUUUUUAAAACUUCAGCUUUGAACCCGUAGAGAAAGCCCAGGCCCAGACCCCUAACACAGGGAGGCCCAUUAAGUAACUUCAGUGAUUAUCAUCCAACGUCCAAAGAUGAAGCACUGGCCCAUUAAAUCACUCGUAGGCAGGGAGACGUCUUUACGGCUGCACCUGACUUCCCUGGCAAACCUUCCCGAGGCUGCUGACUGCUACGGAACAAUCGCAGAAGCGCAGCAGCGGAAACAAGGGAAAGCGCUCCUGCUCCCUUGCCGGGUGAUCACACGGACACAGACGGAGCCGCUCUGCCUGUGCGCGCCCUGCUAUCUGCGUGGCCAUCGUCACUCUCAGACAGACGCAGCCCGGCGGGAAGAGGGCCUCUGUCCGCCCCUUUCUGUGCCUUGUUCUCUGUGGUCUCACUGUUGCACCGUCCUUCUUGCCGAACUGCCGCAUCUCGCCCAGCUCACCUGUCACCUUACAGCCCGUGCCCUCGGCCUGUGGUGCGUCCCUGCUGGCUCUUGUUUUUAGCCAUGUGCCGACGCAUUUUCCUUCUCACUCCCCGGAAGCGGAGCUGCCCCCGCAUUCUGGUGUGUUCCCUCUGUGCCUGCUUCGGAGGGCUCAUAUGACUGCAAGCUCAUCUGCAGCGCGUUUUCCUAAGGCCCUGGGCAGGCGAUAGCCACUCCGGCACCUUCUGCUCCCUCCCUAAGGCCCAAGUCCGCUCAGCUCCUGCCCCUGCAGCAGAUUUGAGGAGCUGGGAAGCCCAGACCGGCUGGUGCCCCUUGUGCCUUUGAACACUGCCCUCAAAGCAUCGCUGUAGACGGAGACCUGCCAGUGUAAAAAGUUAAUCUCGCGCAUGCAAAAAACCAGAACAAAACAGGAACAAGAAAAACCCAAACUAAAGUACAAAUGGGAUUGGUGAAAAUACUUGAAAUAAAACGUCACAUGAAGUGUCAGAUUCUAACUGUGUAGUGAUUUGAAUCUAAGGACUGAAACCCUAAUGGGAGACGGGCGUCAUGAGACAGGCAGGUCACGGAGAACGCGCGGUGGCUUGGAUUUCGAUGGUGAGGCGGGCUUCCAGUGAGCAGGCAGAUCCCCAGCUUUAGCCAGGUGAGCCGACCACACAGUGGGGCUCGUGAUCAACAGAACCAAAGCACAGGACACGGCUUUUGAGCUAAUGCUCAAAGAAUUUAGCAUGAUAGCAAGGCUUACCUCGCUCAUCUGGCACUUACUCUGUGCCUGGCGUUUUCUAGUGGGGAAUCAAGAUACGUUAGCCAGAUAACUUACAUGUGCUUUGUUUUUGCAGCAGUGCAGGUUGAAUCUGGGGCUCUCACACUGAGCUACAUCCUCAGCCCUUUCUAUGUUUUAUUUUGAGACACUAUCUUGGUAAACUGCUGAGUUGCCCAACUUGGGCUCAAACUUGCAAUCCUUCUGCCUCAGCCUCCCAGAGUGCUGGGAUUCCCAGGUAUGUGCCACCAUGCCCAGUAAACAUGCAUUUUUAUAACAAAAAAAUCACCAAAUGAGGUAACUGUUUUACUUACUGCCAAAGGAAGUAGUUAUUUUACAGUGCUUCACUUUAAGUUUUAAGUUGUUAUUGACGCAUUUAUGGAAAUUCACAGCAAGAUGGAGAUAAAAAAUAGAAAUACCUUGGAGAUCUCCUUAAGACGUAAUUUUGUAGUGUGUGUGUUUAGAUACAGGUAAGGGGCGCUAACAUCCAUGGGGGAGGGCCUGAGUUCAUAUGGACCCGUGAGAGCUCUGCACAGCCCAGCAUUUACUACAAAUAAAACUAUGGGUCUUUAUUUUCUAUUUAUGACCAACUUCAAGGUUGGUCAAGCAACUGUAUAUUUCUGUGAGGAAUGGAUCUGGAAUUCAUCUGUUUCAAGAUUUAUAUAUGCUUCUUGCAGAUUUUUAGGAAAUAAAGCCACCUGCUUAUUAUUUUGCAUGCACUUCUUGAUAUGCUAAACCCAAGUGAUUAACGCAAAACCUAGCAUAGGUGUCUACUGCGCGCAGCGUAGGUGCCACUUGUGUGUAGGAACUUCUUGUCCAGAGCCCAGGUAUCAGUGAAACAAUCCGGAUAGUAUCUGCACUUGGGGGAAACUCAGCUCUCCAUUCUGAAAUAAAGCUUUGGAAUUCACGAUGACUCAGGGACGCUUCAGUACAUUCUGUUAAGAUGGAGAAAGCCUCCCUCGGUCAAGACCUCCUAAGAAUUCCUUUCCUUCCUAGGUUAUUUGUGACCUGGACCUUCUACAAAAUAUUACUUGUACUCUUAUAAAAGCUCCUAAAGGUCUAGUUCUUUCAGAAGAGUAUAAUUUACUACAAAGACCAAAGCUAGCACUGGACAGAAUAUCCCUCACCCCAAUUUAUUCAGUAUGGAGUUCUAUAUCUGAAAAAUAUACCUCAAGAGUUCCUCCUAUAGCUGGGUAUGGGGGCGCAUACCUGUAAUUCCAGCACUAGGGAGGCUGAGGCAAGAGGAAUGCUGUGAGUUCAAGACCAG